CUAGUCUGGCCCACUCAUGUGGGCCACUUGGCACUUGGAGCUCUCGCUGCAAAUUGAUACACUAACAACUGGUUUAGAUCAAUCCUCUGUGAGUGUUGGUCUGAGUGAGCCUUGCUGAGUCUCUUCCUCUGGGGACUGACAAGAUCCCGUUUCCAGGCUUGUGAGGCUGAGGACCAGUCCCUGGACUGGGAAUCGUGCUGAAGAAGUCAAACACCAGAAGAUGUCCAAGGUGCCAUUUUGAUUGGCGGUUUAUGGACACAGCUUUGAGUACAAAGCCUGAAAGAUCUGUGUACUCAGAAGUAACCCAGAGGUCACUCGCUUUGCCCUCGUCCUCUUCCCUGAAGCAUGAGGGGUACUGUUCUCCACUUGACUUCUGCCUCUGCUACUCCAUUUGAGUGCAAAACUGUCCAGAAAAAUGGGAAGGAGUUGGGCUGGCUGCUGGGUUUCUGAGCCUGCAUACCAAUGAAGCUGCUUCUGGAGCUGAGUGUCUUGUGCCCAUAAACCAUGACCUUCGUCAUCUGCAGAGGCAGCCAGCAGUAGCAGUCCCUGUAGAAAUCUUUCCUGUCACAAUUGCAAGGAUGGCAGAGGC